rnacentral:lncRNA from 1 species
UUGUUUCACAGUUCAUGCUAUUUUUUUUAAGAGUCAACGGUGGGCUAAGAAAGCCCACCUGAACAUUCAUUUCUUCAAAGUGAGAUUACAAGAUCAGGCGACCGUCCUCGAUAACGAGUACGGUGAUCAGGAUAAUUACAAAUCGCAGCACGAGCACACACCCAAGGAAACAAAACAGCCACAACAAUGGAACAGAAGCAUAAUGGGGCCGAGCAAUUCUUGCUCCAAGGCGGGACUCCAGACGAUUGACGGGUUGAACUACUGUGGCUGCACAAAGCUUGAAGACACCCUCAUCACAAAGAGACACCAGCAACUAGGUAGCCCAAAUCAUAGCAAGAGAGGUUGGCAACGGGCAAGGAUGAACCUCGACCUGAAUCACUAGCCUGGGUGAGAGCGGUGGCCAGCGCCUGUGGCUGAUCAUGGUCGCCCGCAAUAAGCGAGGCACAACAGAAGCCGCCGAGACCGUGCGAAGGUGAAGCACCUCCCUGCGCGCCGGGCACGGCACUCUCGUUCCACGGCAAUGGCCCCGAAUCCAGCGUUCGUGCGGAGGCGAAUCGCCUCCCCGCACACCGAGUGCGGCGCUCUCGCUGCACGACCGCCAGCGCCCAAAGAUCCGCGGAAUAGGUCGGGGAAGGGGAGGGGAGGGCCGCAAGCUGAGGCACAGAGGGCCAUCGACGCAGCUUGCCAGCGAGGAGCGACGGUGUAACAGGUCGUCAAGACCGCAACAAGAUCUGGGAGCCACAGGGGAAGCAGGCAGGCAGAGGGCCCCCCAAAACCGGCCGUCGGAGCAGAUCCACAGGGCCACACCCGGGACCAGCCGUGCCCAUAGCUUUCACCCCUCACGCCAUGAGAGCAAGCAGGAGGGGGCACCCGAGCUUUGGGCGAGAUCGAGAUCUGGAAGGAGCUUCGAGUGGCAAAAUAGAUCGGGGGAGAGAAGAGGAAGCGGCGGGGAGUGAGGUGCUGCUGUGGCUCGAGGCCCGCCGCCGCUGCCGGCGACGGCAGCGACGGCGGCGGGCUGCGGUGCGUGAGGAGGGGGAGCGGCGGAGUACGGAUGGGGGCGCCCCUGAGUGACAGGAGUCCUCUCCAAGCCUCUGCGGUCACAGUUCAUGCUAUAAAUUGUGCAAGGUAGUUUUUGUCGAAACUUAUCUUAUCUUGGUAACCUUUAUUGCAAAUUUUGUAAUAUUGUUCAUGGUUAUUUUAGGGACCCAUGCCUGACAUCCAAGCAUAUGUAUGGCACAAGGACGAAUACUCUACAAGCAACAUUUGAAAUCCUAUUAACCACGUUGGAUGUCAUUGUCACAGAAACUAUUUUCAAACUGAAGGUUGAGAUUUGAGAACUACUUAGGCAGUUGUUUUCUUCAAAACUGCACUUAUUUAAAGAAGAGAUAAAAGAGAUUUUCUAUGACUAACCUUGCAUACGAGCAAGUUAGCUUUUCCAG